AAAGGAACACACACUCACAGGAGAUUCUUGAAGUAUCAGGAAGCAAAAGACAAUCCAUGGCUAAGUUGGGCACCAACUAAUGGAUUUGCACUUGUUAACAGGAUUUCCGUUAUCUGCCUCACACUUGCUGAACAAACAACUCUUCCAUUUGACAUUCUCUGCUCAAAAUGUGUGCUGACUUCUGGAUGAGUAUUUUAUUUUGAACACAGAGAAGAGAUAUCAACUGAUAUCCUAGAGGCAUCAGAGAACAUCUCAAACCUUGUGAGCAAACAUCUGUGGUUGGAAUAAGGUAGGAAAUGUUUUGUAGAGGUUCUUUUCCUGAUGGCACAAUUUUCUCAUCUCAGAGAUCACUUUCCAUUCUUUUCCUCCACUCCCCUUAUCAAAGCCAGUAUUUCCUCUAAAGCUUUUGGCUUGACCUCUUCAUCUUUAUCCUAAACAAAAUAAAUCUACGUGCCUUUACCCAAAAUCAAAUUAAUUAUUGUUUUAAUUGUUGAGAUCUGCAGGUCCAGCUUAAAAGUCUUAUCGCCUUACCCAAAACUCUCCAGUCACCGUACUUGGGGUAAGGUGGUAAAGUCUUAAUUAUUUUUUUAAAUGCAGGUCGCUUUUGCUAAUGCUGUCUAUUAGAAAGUGUUUGUUGUCAUUUGUCCAGCAUUUAUUUGCUUUCUAACCUUUCCAAAUUAAUUCUUCUCCCAUCCUGAAAAAAAAAGAAAAGAAAUCCAGAACAUUUUGCAUUUUUUAAUAUAUUUUUAUUCUGUUCUCAUUGCUGAGAAUUAUUACUAUCAGCAGCAGAAGCAUUAGAAAUUGCUAACAACAAACAAACAACACGAAGCAGCCAGCUUGGGUAGUUUAGCCUACUGGGGUUAUAUAUAUUCUUACUAAUUAGUGAGCCAGUCAGCCAGCCAAAGCUUGUGGGCUUAUUACCCAGCCUUGAAUACUAUUGUUCUUUCCCCUACUCUCACUGCUUCUGCUGGCAAUCUGGCCCCUUCUUGACAUGGUCUCUUUGUUGACUCCAAUGAACGUGUUAAAGGUAAAGGGACCCCUGACCGUUAGGUCCAGUCACAGAAAACUCUGGGGUUGCAGCGCUCAUCUCACUUUACUGGCUGAGGGAGCCGGUGUACAGCUUCUGGGUCAUGUGGCCAGCAUGACUAAGCCACUUCUGGCAAACCAGAGCAGUGCACAGAAAUGCCGUUUACCUUCCCGCCAGAGUGGUACCUAUUUAUCUACUUGCACUUUGACGUGCUUUUGAACUGCUAGGUUGGCAGGAGCAGGGACCAAGCAACAGGAGCUCACCCCGUCACGGGGAUUCAAACCGCCAACCUUCUGAUCGGCAAGCCCUGGGUGCUGUGAUUUAGACCACAGUGCCACCUGCGUCCCAAUGAACGUGUUACUUUUUAUCAUUGCUGACCAAUUCCAAAGGCUUAUUCUACUUUUCCCCCAUGUCUUCCAGCAGGACUAUCCACACCAGACGAUACACAAAAGCAAGGGAUGAGCACAAUGGCCAGCUUCAGCCCAACAUCCCUGUCCCCUUUGAAUGCUGGAGAGAAAUAUUAUGCAGCCUUCAACGCAAGCGCUUACCCCAACAGUAGCCACAGUAAUGAUGAUCCAGAAUUUGUAUACAAUACAGUAACAAUGUAUAUAGUGUGUGUAUCAAUAAUUAUAGUUUGCAUUUUGGGAUGCUUGGGGAAUGGAACUGUCAUCUGGCUGCUUGGAUUCCGUAUUCAGAGGACCCCCUUCACCACGUACAUCCUGAACCUCGCCGUUGCAGACUUUGGUUUACUUGCUGUGGACCUUAUUCUAGAAAUACGCUGGCUUCAGAAUCGCAAACAGGAUGAGGGUGUUGCGUUUGAAUUCUUUGAAGAUAUUUUCCAAUUCAUGUACAACGCGGGUCAGUUUCUGCUGACGGCCAUCAGUAUUGACAGGUGUGUGUCUGUACUCUUCCCAGUUUGGUAUGGAUGCCACCGACCGCCACGUUUGUCCAUUGUUUUGUGUGCCUUCAUAUGGGUGCUUGCUUUCUUUCUCCCUGGAACACAUUUCAUUCUCUACCUGGCUGUUAAAGAGUAUCAUGGUUCCGUAAGACUCUACCAGUACAUUGAGAAUGGCUUCUUUUGUCUCCCACUAAUAACUGUCUCCACAUUGAUCCUGUUCAUCAAGGUCUGCUUUAAAACACAACAGCAGAAGCGGGGCAAGCUCAUUAUAGUCAUCCUCCUUACUCUUUUCUUCUUUAUCUUUCUUUCUUUUCCACUGAAUGCCUUUUACAUUGGCCAUUAUGUUUUCCAUAUUCCAACUUUGCAUCGAUUGCAAUAUGGUUACUUGUGUGCCACUCUGAACAGCAGUGUUAACCCUUUGCUCUAUUUUGUGUUUGGGAGACGAAGGAGAGGCGGGCAUAUAAAGGGCAUGAAAGCCAUACUCCAAAAUAUUUUCAAGGAAGAAGAAAACCCUACACAGGAAGUGGAGACCUGUGCUUUAAGUCCCUUGUGAUGGCUUUGAAAGAGUACAACUUAUAGCUAUACCACUCUGGUUACUAUAAGUUGUUCUAGCUCCUAACCAAGUAAACAAGUGUAUAUUUGUAUUCCACUGCUGAGAUUAAGUUUUGAUGGCUCCAAAAGAUUUAUAAUCCUAGUUUCUUUGAAGCAUACAUGUGUAAUUUUGGUUUCCAUUACCAGUACUUUUCUUGACCUGUAUUCAGUGUGGGCUAUUGAUUCCAGGAUGUGUUUAGAAUUUCAGCAGGGUGAACUAGAUGAACUCAGAAGCUCUUAAUUAUUCUAAGUCUUGUAGAGUUAUGAAGCAAAGCAUGCUAUACCAUCAAAACCAUGUCUCUCUGUUUUACAACUAGUUACCAGAAUCAUGAAUGUACAAAAACCCAUCAUCUAUAUUUGAUAUACUGUAAUCUUGUAUGUAUAAUCACCCCUUGCAUUGCUUUGUAAGCCACCGUUUCUAAUACAAGUUUGCAUCUAGCUGU